CUGCAGCCAUUUCAUUUUGAAACAUCAGCUCCCGUACAAUCACCGAAGUUAAGCAACGUCGAACCUGGUCAGUACCUAGAUGGGAGACCUCUUAGGAAACCAAGUGCCGUAAG